GGAGUGUCGGGGUGGCCCUUGCCCAAUUUGGUGUGUAUCUGAGCCAAAUUGGCAGAGCUUCCUCUUCUUUCU
ensembl:miRNA